rnacentral:rRNA from 1 species
CACGCCCUAAACUAUGUCAACUGGUUGUUGGGAGAGUUAAAUCUCUUAGUAACGAAGCUAACGCGUGAAGUUGACCGCCUGGGGAGUACGGCCGCAAGGUUAAAACUCAAAGGAAUUGACGGGGACCCGCACAAGCGGUGGAUUAUGUGGAUUAAUUCGAUGCAACGCGAAAAACCUUACCUACCCUUGACAUGCCAGGAACCUCGCAGAGAUGUGAGGGUGCCCGAAAGGGAAUCUGGACACAGGUGC